rnacentral:rRNA from 1 species
AUUGAACGCUGGCGGCAGGCUUAACACAUGCAAGUCGAGCGGGGUGAUGGUGCUUGCACUAUCACUUAGCGGCGGACGGGUGAGUAAUGCUUAGGAAUCUGCCUAUUAGUGGGGGACAACAUCUCGAAAGGGAUGCUAAUACCGCAUACGUCCUACGGGAGAAAGCAGGGGAUCACUUGUGACCUUGCGCUAAUAGAUGAGCCUAAGUCGGAUUAGCUAGUUGGUGGGGGAAAGGCCUACCAAGGCGACGAUCUGUAGCGGGUCUGAGAGGAUGAUCCGCCACACUGGGACUGAGACACGGCCCAGACUCCUACGGGAGGCAGCAGUGGGGAAUAUAGGACAAUGGGGGGAACCCUGAUCCAGCCAUGCCGCGUGCGUGAAGAAGGCCUUAUGGUUGUAAAGCACUUUAAGCGAGGAGGAGGCUCUUUUGGUUAAUACCCAAGAUGAGUGGACGUUACUCGCAGAAUAAGCACCGGCUAACUCUGUGCCAGCCGCCGCCGUAA